UAAACUAGGGAUUAGAUACCCUAUUAUUUUUUUUUAUUUUAAAGAAAUGGUAAUUUUUAAGCUAAUAAAAUUGGCGGUUUCUUUACUUUUUAGAGGAGCUUGUUUCAUAAAGGAUAUUACCCCAAUUGAUUUACUAUAUUUAAGGUUUUUAUAUCGCUGUUGUUAAAAUAUUAUUGAAUUUAAUAUUUAAAAUUUAUUUUAUUAAAUACUUCAAGUCAAGAUGAAACUAUAUUAUAGAGAAAAUGAGCUACAAUAAGAAAUUUUAGGACGAAAAAGAAAUUUUAAUUUUUUAAUGAAGGUGGAUUUAAAAGUAAAUUUUAAGAAAAAUUGAAUAUGGUACAAAGAAAUGUACAUAUCGCCGGUCGCUCU
rnacentral:rRNA from 1 species